rnacentral:rRNA from 1 species
UACGGGGGGGGCAAGCGUUGUUCGGAAUUACUGGGCGUAAAGGGCGCGUAGGCGGUUCGCUAAGUUGAAUGUGAAAACUCUGGGCUUAACCCAGAGCCUGCAUUCAAUACUGGCGGGCUAGAGUUCUGGAGGGGAUAGCGGAAUUCCUGGUGUAGCGGUGAAAUGCGUAGAUAUCAGGAGGAACACCGAUGGCGAAGGCAGUGGGCUGGGCCGGCACUGACGCUGAGGAGCGAAAGCGUGGGGAGCGAACAGG